rnacentral:rRNA from 1 species
CGUGUAGGCGGCUUAUUAAGUUGGAUGUGAAAGCUCCUGGCUUAACUGGGAGAGGACGUUCAAAACUAGUAAGCUUGAGUACGAGAGAGGAAAAUGGAAUUCCGGGUGUAGUGGUGAAAUGCGUAGAUAUCCGGAGGAACACCAGUGGCGAAGGCGAUUUUCUGGCUCGAGACUGACGCUCAGACGCGAAAGCUAGGGUAGCAAACGG